AACUUUGCUUCUAUCUCCAACGUUCAGGAACCUCUCGCCUUCAUCAAAUCUCCUACUGACCUGCAGACCCUGCAUCGAAUUGCAAAUAUGAUAAGGGCUUCCGGUAUCCAAUACCCAGGCAGUAGUAUCACAAAUAAAAAAGUUGCAAGGUGUUAUCAUAUAAGUACCUUGCUUCUUCUUUGGCCUGUUCGGGUCCAGGGAGGCAAUAUAUAGAGGACAGUUCCUCUUUCAGUGCCCCUGCUUCUUGCAAAAGAAGCACUCCGCCUGGCUCUGGUCGGGCUUGCACUUCUUGGUCUGACCCUGUGCAGACGUUUCAGCAUGCAGCUGCACUUUCUUAUUCUUCUUCUUUUUGUUCUUCUUUCCUUUCUUAAAGGGUUGACGACCAGAAGAAGACCCUCCCACAACAUUCACCGACUCCUUAUGGAGCUGGUGAUCCUUUUCAAAGUUCUGCAGCAACCCCAACAAGCUGUGGUAGUUCACUGCAGGCUUUGUCAUUCGAAAAUGAGUAAGGGAAGGAAGGACUUGGACAGAGAAUUAAGGAUCGCAUCCUUACUGAGCUGCUCGUGCAGGGAAAAACCCAGUUUACUUAGGCGCUCAAUCAUUUCG
rnacentral:lncRNA from 1 species